UGGGGAAUAUUGCACAAUGGGCGCAAGCCUGAUGCAGCCAUGCCGCGUGUGUGAAGAAGGCCUUCGGGUUGUAAAGCACUUUCAGCGAGGAGGAAGGUGGUGAGCUUAAUACGCUCAUCAAUUGACGUUACUCGCAGAAGAAGCACCGGCUAACUCCGUGCCAGCAGCCGCGGUAAUACGGAGGGUGCAAGCGUUAAUCGGAAUUACUGGGCGUAAAGCGCACGCAGGCGGUUUGUUAAGUCAGAUGUGAAAAUCCCCGGGCUCAACCUGGGAACUGCAUUUGAAACUGGCAAGCUAGAGUCUCGUAGAGGGGGGUAGAAAUUUCCAGGUGUAGCGGUGAAAUGCGUAGAGAUCUGGAGGAAUACCGGUGGCGAAGGCGGCCCCCUGGACGAAGACUGACGCUCAGGUGCGAAAAGCGUGGGGCAGCAAAACA
rnacentral:rRNA from 1 species